AAAGGCAUUAUUAUUGUACAAAUCCCAGGCAUAGGGAGGAAAUCACAGUAUGAGUGAAAAAUGGGUUGGUAAGAAAAGGGGCACUGCAGAACUUGGGCCAAGGAACUCAGAUGCUGUGUGUUCAGAGAGAUCAAAGGAAUCUGAAGGAAAUUACUAAUCCCAAUCAGGUGGAAAUGAGUGAAUCUGUGCUCCAUAAAUAUAUAGAAAUAUACCUGCUGUUCAUAGAAAAUCUCUUGGCAAAAAGAUCAAAGGACUUCAGAGAUAUUUUCCAUGACAUGCUCAUGAGAUUGAAUGGCGUGGGGACAGGUCUUCUCUUAUCCCUGUUGUCCAGUGAGGAAGUUGAAGAUACAGAGACAGAACAUGAAGGGUCAAAGAAUAAUUCCUGGGGAAUAAUCACAAUGAUCAGGAUGGGAGUAGGAAGAAGAAUCACAGAAGGAGACAUAACCUUUUGACUAAGCUGUUGAAGACUACUAAACCAAACUUCAACUCCCUAGAAAAGGAAGCGUUGCUGACUCCAUUCAAACAGAGGAAGUGACUGACCAUUGGAUCACAGAUUUAAUACUAGAAGAAACUUUUGAGACCCACUUGUCCAACUCACUCAUUUUGAAGAUGAAGAAAAAGGACUUGUUCAAGGUCGUAUAGUCAUAUAUGUCACUGAGUACAAUAGACAGGUUUUUGAAUCCAAAUCCUCUGACUCCCAAAACAGCAUUCUUCUCAUUGUAGCACUAUAAAAGGGUCAUAUAUCUAGGAUCUUGGAGAAUUUGUAUUGAGGAAGGAAAGAAGAGAGAGGAGAGAAGAGGAGAAGAGAGGAGACGAAAGAAAAGGAGAGGAGAGGAAGGAAGAGGAAAAUAAAAAGACAAAGAAGAGUCA
rnacentral:lncRNA from 1 species